ACUGUUUUUGCUCACUUUUGGUCUCAGGGCUCGGUAUAAUAAAAUAAAUUGAAUAAAUAAAUAAACAAACCGUUUUCAUGCAAUACAACACCUUUUAAUACGACCUGCCUUUUCUGUAUCUUUUCUGAUAAACAGUGUGUAUUUUUUACAUAUAAAGCAUAGGUCAUAUUAAGUGGUAAGUAUCAACAGCCAAAUACAUCCCAGCCGUUCAUAAGCUGUCAAAUAAAUAAAUAUAUAAAAUAAAUGUUUUUAUAAAUUGAAUUUAAAUAUGGAUUUGAACAGUCACAACUAAAACUAUAUUUUUGCGAAAACUUUUAAUUUGUUUGCCUGAGACACUCCUAUACCUAAAAAUGCAGUUAAACUAGGUUUAUCUCCCCAUCUCGUAUGAAAAAUUUGCCUAAAACGGUUCUUCUGGCACCGUUCCGUAUUGGUUCUGUCUCAAGCCUUUGGGAAAGGCUGCGGUUUGUAAAGCAUUACAGGGAGUAGGACUGAGGAAUAAAGGACGGAAAGAAAAAUGGCAGUAAUUGUAAUAUUGUCGGAGCACUCUUUUUUCCCUCGCCUUUGCCAAAAGCCCGAGCUAUUGAGCGCGUUACUCGGGCUUGCCGCUGACUCGCUGCAGGACACAGAAAAUCUGAUCAAGUUCAGAGACGCGCUGCGCUUCAAGCAGCGCUUUAGAACGACGAGACUUUCACACGCUCUCCCCCUUAAUUCAGCGCCUUCACUAACCUGAACCGAGCAAAAAAAAUCUCCCUCAAAUCACUCCUCACUCCGCUGUAGCCCUUCAUCCGUCCGCACGCACCAAAUACUGUAGCCCAAAAAUGCUCUGAAGUAUGGAAGAACUGAAGAAGAUGAAAAAAAACACCACACAAUGAAGAAGUUUCCAGACUGUCUUGAGUGUAAAAAUCAGAAAGAAUCGUUUGCAGUUGACUCAACAGUGUUGUGCUGUACAGUGUUUGGAUGCAGUGAUGGAGCAACACUAUCACAGCCAGUUCUCUCAGAUUUUGUUGAUUGCAGCCAUAUUGCAGGGGCUGAUGUUAGAUUAACCCCUAGGUCUAGCGUUUGUAGUACUACUGUCAUGACUCAAUACAUGUGAAAUGUAAGGUCCAUAUAUAUAUAUAUAUAUAUAUAUAUAUAUAUAUAUAUAUAUAUAUAUAUAAUUUUCUCUUGCAUUUUCCCCAGAUGUUGUGAUUGAAGGAUCUUCAUGUUCAAGAUUGCAUGUUAUCUCUUUCUUUAUGAAAAAAAAAAAAAAAAUUAAAAAGCAUGCUACAUACAGUAGUAAUACAGUAUAAUAUAUACAGUAGUAUUUCAUUUUGACGCCAAAUACAUUUUGGAUAAUCUGUGACCUAGGAAGUAGCGGUUGUUUAAAAAGAAAACUUUUAUUUUCACAAACCAUUUUUACAAACACAUUUUUAUUGUAAUUAUUUAUGUGUAAUAUAUGUAAUGUAAUAACGUUCAUUAAAAAAAUAAGCAAAAUAUUUUUUUCCAGUAAAAGGGCAUUUUUUUAUGAUUAUGCACCCCAAACCUCUUAUUUAAAAAAAUAAUUAAAUUAAAUUGAAUUUAGUUACUUAAAAAUAUUUUUUUAGCAUGCAAAAUCUCUUUCUUAAGUUAAAAGAAAAACGAAUGUUUAACAUGGAAUAGUUGAAUACUUCAUCGUGUACGUUUUGUAUUCUUUUUAAAACGAAAGUUGCAUAUCCUGAAAUCAAAGAUUGUAAAUUAAUAUUCUGUAAUAUUCUAUUGCAAAGUAGCUCCAAAACGUCCAGUCACUGUUUUAAUUAUCAACAGCUUAUUAAUUGCUUAGUAAUUGCUUUACUUGCCGGGGUUUUUAAACUGCUUCAUUAAACAACCAGAAGUAAA